rnacentral:lncRNA from 1 species
ACAAUCCUCCUGCUUCAGCUUUCCAAGUACUUGGAUUACAAGAAUGUUCCCACUGGGCUUCUAGGCAAAGAGGAGACAUGAAAAAUAUCUUUAGCUGGAAAGAGACCUGGGCUCUCCUUUGUGACAGACACUUCCUUCCAGAACUGAGAAACCAGAGGCUGAUGCGGCUGUUCUUAUUGCGCAGCUCCACUCAGCUCCCUCAGAAACACAGCUAUCUGUGCACUGAGCUCCUGGGAUUCCAUGUGCCACCUUGACUGAACCCUGUUUCUGAAGACCCUUCAAAGCCCGAGAGAGCAGUCACCCAGCUUUGAGCCAGCUUGGAUCACUGUAGAGAGACACCAACACAAGGAAAACAGCAGGCUAAACGGAAGCAAGCAACACUCAAGGAGAAUUCAGAGGACUUGAGGAACUCCAUGUGAGUGACCAAGCCUGAAGGGUUCAAUCUGGAGAAAGGAUACCUCCAAGAUCCUCAACCUACAGCUACUCUCAAAAGAUUCAAGGAGAGGUGGCCUCAUGCAGUAGCUCUCUCAGUCUAUUAAGUUGAGCCCUACUCUGCGCAUCCAGCACAAAGGAGACGUGGAGUGCCAUGGGCACACUCAAGGAAGGCUCCUGAUACAGACUCUGCAGGAGAUGAACAGGAGGGAAGACACCUGGCAGCUGAUCAAAAGAAGAAUGGAUCCGUGUUUGAGCUCUGGGUAAGUCUU